UGGAUUUCACCUAUUUGUUUUUAAACAAAUGUCACAAUGAAAUAAAAUAGUUUACUAAAGUGCUUGUAAAGUUUAAACACAACAUACCUGUACAUAAUGUUCCUAGUUAAUAAACAUAAUGCUAGCAAAUGACAAAGAUUUCACAUACAUUUCGGUAUUUAAUCCCUCAGAAAUACUAUAUUUUUUGAGGCCCUGAGAGUUAGCCAGAGAGUAUGUACAGUAAGUCAGAGAGACAGGAAAGGCAAGACUUAUGAUAAGUAAGAAUGUGUUUGUUCUAGCUUAUCAUUCCAACAGGUAAAAUACAUAAAUAUUGCAGUUCUGUUGAUGUUGGCUGAAGUCUGUGGGACUUGGAAUCAUUUGGUAAAUAUGAAAUACUGUAUUCUUACAAUGCCAGGAAGCGUGCAUUCCCUUUGCUUCACGAGAUGCUCUGUAGUGUCUUUGUUCCUUUGGGUCAAAUCUCCAUGGAGGAAGGAUCCACAGCUGCUGACUGACCGCGGAGCGACCACACACUUCCAGCCGUCUCCUGCCCGUCCUUUUUCAGAAACUCUUCGCAGCGCCUUCCCCGUUCCCAGGCCGACCCAGCUGGGGAGGAUUUGCUCUGGUCUCCAGCUCCUCUGCCUUGGGGGCAUCAGCUCUUUGGCGGGUGCUGUUUCACUGGGCACUGGUCAGGGAAUUAGUAACUGGAUAUAGACACUGAGGCCCGGCGGGGUUAUGGUCCCUGUGAUCCCGAAAAAAAAAAGGCCUCCAGGACUCUGCAAUGGAUCUUUCUGGUUAAGGCCCUGACCACAGGUCCUGCUGACACCCUGUCCACUUAGACCGUGGUUUUAGCAAGGCCCAUCAUUUCCUGAAGUCUCCCUGUGUGUGACCCAUUCAUGUCCCUGUCGUUUUGGCCUGUCAAAUGAGGGGCCACUUCACCACGGUGGAGGACCCACUGUCUUCCCAUGGCAUUGGCCACACAGUGCAAAUAGGGACCAUCUAUUACUCAUGUUUAAAAGGGAACUUAAAUGACAUGUCGGAUGUGAACUGUGACACCAACUUGUGUGCAGCAGUGGCUAAAAGUGCUUGGCAAAUCAUUGGUGUGGCAGUGUCGCGUAAUUAGAAUGUGAAAAUGGUGAGACCUUGAGGCGAAACUGGUGCCUCGAGAAAGACUUUGUGAAUCUGUUGUCUUUUAAUCUUUUGUCAGAGUCUGUUUGAGGGCUGAAGAUGCGUCCCAGAUGUCCAGCCUUGGUUUAACCAUAUCCAUGAGUGGCUCUUUGAAGGGACAGUCUAUGACACAUCAGGAUGCAAGACUAGAAGACAUUUCAGGACAGGGAAGCUAUGAACUAAUAGUUUACCAACACACACACACACAUACAAACACACACAUACAGAGGAAAAAAAUCUCUCUCCAAUUUACUGUGGAGGUUGUUCCUGGUAUAUACUGUAGGACUCGUCGUGGGAGCCUCAUUCAGAGGGAAAGGAAAGUGUACAUAGACUAAAAAGGGUUCCCAAGUAGUUUCCCCUCCCUUACAAGCAACAUUGUUGGGUCUACAAAGGCCCACCUGUCUCACAAAAGAGAAGACGGGACGAGGCAACAUUGACAGGGUCAAGAAAGGUCAGACGGGUCAUUGUGUUGAGAGCAUCUCUUGGAGGAAGAGGGGGGAGAGGCAGGUGCAACAUAAAGAAAGGUUUCACAAAUUAGCGAGCUCUUUAGGUCAAGGGUCAUGAACUAAGAAGCCCAGUCUGAAGUUUCCAAUGCGCUUCUAUGCUGAUAAUGAAAAACUGAGUGAGCUCUGAAAGACCUAUGUUUACCAAUCAUUCAGACCUGAAUUCUGAAAGCAACAGUACAAUACCUGUGGCAAAUAUAAUUUGUCUGCAAUGGACAUUUCAAUAUCAUCAAGGUUUAAAGGUCAUUAUACACGCUUAAAAAAAAAACGCUGCAGUCUAACCGUGGAACCAGUUCACAUCAAUUCACUAAACGUGUGGAAUUUUCAUUUGUUUUUAUUUCCUUUUUUUACAUCCUCAAAAGGAUAGAUUUACCAAAAUUAUGAACAGAUAUAGAGACAAAAAACAUUUGGAUAGACUCACAAUUUUAUAAUGGACUGCAAAAUAUAAAGAUUUUUUUUGCAUCAUUUCAUAAAAUGUCACUGGUAUACAAAUACACUGUGUAUUCAACAGAACAAAACAUAUGAAUGUCCAUUAAAAUUCAUGAAAAAAAACCCUGCACCAAAAAAAAAAAGAACGAACAAAAAUAUUUGAAAUAAACAAACAAUAAAAACCCUGGUAUGGCAUUCAGAACAAAA